rnacentral:rRNA from 1 species
UGCUUUCAGUAGGGAAGAAGAAGAUGACGGUACCUACAGAAGAAGCGACGGCUAAAUACGUGCCAGCAGCCGCGGUAAUACGUAUGUCGCAAGCGUUAUCCGGAAUUAUUGGGCUUAAAGGGCAUCUAGGCGGUCUAACAAGUUGAAGGUGAAAAGCUGUGGCUCAACCAUAGUCUUGCCUACAAAACUGUCAGACUAGAGUACUGGAAAGGUGGGUGGAACUACACGAGUAGAGGUGAAAUUCGUAGAUAUGUG